AUAUUAUGACCUGGACACUUCAUCAGAAGCCCCUUGAAAGGCUCCCAUGCCUCAAACAAAUUAUAUGAUUUAUGUUGGGUAAAAGCAUAAAUCUCUUACUUUUCCUU